UACUCGAGUGGCGAACGGGUGAGUAACACGUGGGUGAUCUGCCCUGCACUUCGGGAUAAGCCUGGGAAACUGGGUCUAAUACCGGAUAGGAGCCAUUUUUAGUGUGAUGGUUGGAAAGUUUUUUCGGUGUAGGAUGAGCUCGCGGCCUAUCAGCUUGUUGGUGGGGUAAUGGCCUACCAAGGCGGCGACGGGUAGCCGGCCUGAGAGGGUGGACGGCAACAUUGGGACUGAGAUACGGCCCAG
rnacentral:rRNA from 1 species